CGUGUGAGCAGCAGUUCAACAUGGGUCAGUCGGUCGUAAGGGAAAGCAGAAGUGUUUUCCAAAGCGGGAGCAGUUUUGGCUGUGGAGAGAGCCCCGCAGUGAUCGAAAUGGAAUAGGGUUAAUAAUCCCGAACCCGGACGCGGAGAUUGGUCCUUCGGGGCCCAGUGCGGUAACGCAAAACCUCUCGGAGACGCCGAUGCGAGCCCCGGGAAGAGUUUUCCUUUCUCUGUAAGGAGAUCGAGUCCCUGGAAUGGGUUCGCCCCGAGAUAGGGAUGAUGGCUCCGUAGAGCAGUGCGGCUCUUGCGCUGUCCGGUGCGCUCACGUCGGCUCUUGAAAAUCCCAAAUGAGGGAGUGUGAUUUUCGUGCCGGACCGCACCCACAUCCGCAGCAGGUCUCCAAGGUGAACAGAAUCUAGUCCAUGGACCAAUGUAGGUAAAGGCGCGUUCACACUCUUGCAAACGAGUACGACCGAGAAAGACUUCUUGGGAACGGAUGCACUGAGCGGAGCUGGUCCUAAGAGAUCGCAAGAGGCUUAAAAACCGGUUUGGUCUCUCUCGGUCGCACUCGGUUGCAAGAGUGUGAACGGGCCUUAAGGGAAGUCGGCAAAACGGAUCCGUAACCUUGAGAUAAGGAUUGGCUCUGAGGACUGAGCCGGUCGGGCUGGACACCUGAAGCAGGAACGGCAAUGCACCGGGGGCGGGGAUCGCUGUUCACGCAGCGCGGCCAAGCCGGGACCCGGGUAGGGACCUUCCUGUUGAAAGCCUCAGCAGCGCGGCGUCUGAGGGCUUAGUGCCGAAAGUACUAUGCUUCAGCCGAAAAAAAAACAAAAAAACAGUCAACUCAGAACUGGCACGGACCGGGGUAGUCCGACUAUAUAAUUUAAAAGAAAGCAUUGCGAUGGCCGCUGGUCGCUGUCGACGCAAUGCGAUUUCUGCCCAGUGCUAUAAAUGUUAAAGGGGCGGUGCAACAAUUUUACGAAUAAAAAAAUUUGCAUCUCGUCAUUUUUACGUUGUUUAUCGUGUCCCGGAGGAUAGAGAAA
rnacentral:ncRNA from 1 species